rnacentral:rRNA from 1 species
AGUGAACGCUGGCGGUAGGCCUAACACAUGCAAGUCGAACGGCAGCACAGUAAGAGCUUGCUCUUACGGGUGGCGAGUGGCGGACGGGUGAGGAAUACAUCGGAAUCUACUUUUUCGUGGGGGAUAACGUAGGGAAACUUACGCUACUACCGCAUACGACCUACGGGUGAAAGCAGGGGAUCUUCGCACCUUGCGCGAUUGAAUGAGCCGAUGUCGGAUUAGCUAGUUGGCGGGGUAAAGGCCCACCAAGGCGACGAUCCGUAGCUGGUCUGAGAGGAUGAUCAGCCACACUGGAACUGAGACACGGUCCAGACUCCUACGGGAGGCAGCAGUGGGGAAUAUUGGACAAUGGGCGCAAGCCUGAUCCAGCCAUACCGCGUGAGUGAAGAAGGUCUUCGGGUUGUAAAGCCCUUUUGUUGGGAAAGAAAAGCAGCAGGUUAAUACCCCGCUGUUCUGACGGUACCCAAAGAAUAAGCACCGGCUAACUUCGUG